UUACGGCCAUAUCAUGUUGAAACACCGGUUCUCGUACGAUCAACAAGGUUAAACAACAUCGAGACUGGUCAGUACUUAGAUGGGUGACCGCUUGACAAAUACCGGGUGCUAU
rnacentral:rRNA from 1 species